UACGUAGGUGGCAAGCGUUGUUCGGAAUUACUGGGCGUAAAGGGCGCGUAGGCGGCCUCCUAAGUCAGACGUGAAAUCCCUCGGCUCAACCGGGGAACUGCGUCUGAUACUGGGAGGCUUGAAUCCGGGAGAGGGAUGUGGAAUUCCAGGUGUAGCGGUGAAAUGCGUAGAUAUCUGGAGGAACACCGGUGGCGAAGGCGGCAUCCUGGACCGGUAUUGACGCUGAUGCGCGAAAGCCAGGGGAGCAAACGGG
rnacentral:rRNA from 1 species